rnacentral:tRNA from 1 species
GGAGAUGUGCCUGAAUACUAAGGGCCACUUUGAUAGAGUGAACUAUGGGGGUUAGACUCCCCCCAUCUCCU